rnacentral:piRNA from 1 species
AUGUCCAUUAUACCACUCUGCAUGCCUUUGC